GGUGGCCUAGUUGUUAAAGUUUCUGCCUCAGAUGCAGGAGGUCGUGGGUUUGAUCCCCGGUCGAGUCG